UCGUUAAAUUUUUUCACAUGUGCAUUGUUUGAUGAUUGUGUUUGUCACAUAUAUAUGAUGUUCUGCUAUUCUCUGCAGACCCCUACUUCUUGCCUAUGGCUUAUGUUAAGUUGCAUGCUUAUUCAGGGAGUUCAAAAACAUUUUCAACAUCAGUUUUCUUCUUAUAUGAGCAGGUUUGCUACCUUUCUUCUCUCAUUUUUGCCGUUGUUAUUUUAUUGUUGUUUUUAGUGUCUAAGUUUCAUCAAUUUAUUGAUUUGGGAAACUUUUUUGUCUUAUUAACAGUAAGAAUUUUUCAGUGUACCAUUUUACCAGUGAUUUGACAGAUCCAUCCAGAUGAUGCUUUUGGGCUACAAAUGGUCAGAAAUUUAGAGAUUCUGGCUAUGCGUCACCCAAGGAGACUUGUCUUGUCAGGUUGCUUGGCAGCUUUGGUAGUGAUGACUAUUCUUUCUGCUUUUGUUGGUUGGGUUGCUCGUAACCUGGUAAGUUGUUUCCUAUAUGAUUCCUGCGGUAUUUCUUUCUUCUCUUUCUACUUAGUGAAUGUCAAUAUACAUAACAAGGGCAGCAUUUGUUUUCUUUUACAUAUAGGAGUUCCAUUUGAUGUUCUAUUAUAAGGAAGUGAUGGCCUGAAGCACAUGCUUUUAGUA